UGCCUCCCCUUUUCUGAAAAUGGUAGGCAGUUUGACAUUUUGGCAUUUUUCUCAUCUCAUCAUCACUGUCAUUCCAACAGCCCAUGCGGGUCUGGUGCUUGAUCCCCCCCGUACCUCCCUUUGGCCCAGAGGUCUGUCCUGUUCUACUCUUUACCCUCCUGUGAUAAAGGGCCCAAGAUGGCCCCAGAAUGCCUUUUCUGUGAAGUAUUAUAUAAAUCUUUCUUCAGUCCUUUAUGGCCCCCCAAACUCUGUAUUAGCACUUAUGAGCAACUUCCCUAAAGGGGUCUAAAGGAAAAAAAGAGAAGGGUGUAAGGGAAGGACGUUGGGAAACAGGAGGGAACUAUGUAGCCCAAAAGUAUGCUUCCUAGUAUAAGUUCUUAAGGGCCCUGUGCCUGCCUCUGGUGCUUCCUCUAGAGCAGGUUAGAGGAGAACCUGGGAAGAUCUGUUCUUUUCUUUAGAGAGCUGUAGAGAAGAUUGCCCUUGGAUAGGAGCAAUUGAUGGUGAGGAGAGGAGAGAAGAGGAAAGGAGGCAAGCCAAGCCAUGGGGUCCUCUGAAGAAAAGAAAGGAAAUAACCACAGGGCUUGGCCAAGACUAGGGGAUAUCCCCAGGGGGGCUUACAUGGGCAGGGAACCACCCUUACAAGCUGUUUGCCUUAAUCCCCUGGAGUCUAGUCCUGUCUUCACCACUCAGCCCCUUAGACCUCACUCCAGAAUCCCAUUCCUAGAAUUUUCACCCCAAUUCCUCCCCGGCAGCUAGCUGGAGGCAUCACCAAUGGCUUCUCGCUGCUUGGCAGGACUUGAGAGGUGGGGAGGGAGAGAGGAGGGGCAGCACUUGCACCCACAGAAGGGGUCAGAGGACAUCAUCUAAGUGUCCCAAAUUGGAAUUAUAACUGCAUUCUCAUAGAAACAUGGUUACACAUGGUGACUAGGUACUGAAUUACUGAAUUUGUAUAGUACUGCAUUUCAGGUAUGUUAUGAAUUAAAUAGGGAUUUAUGUGCUGGCCUUUAACCACCAUUCAUGACAUUUUUAUCUGAAAAUGCUUCACAAUUAGAAGUAAUAAGCUUACAAUGGGAUGGGUCUGUAUUUCUGGGUGUUUUGUUUUGUUUUGUUUUGUUUUCCAGUUUGAACAUUCCCAAACAGUUCCUUCAACCUGAUUCUCUUUGUGCUGUGAUGUCUGAUCUCUCAACAUUUUGGCUGUUCUCCUCUGCAUGCCUUCUAGAUUUUCAAUGCUGCUUUUAAAAAUGUGUCACCUAGAAACAUUCACAGCACUCCAGGCAGCUGCUGACUUACUCUGCAAGAAAAAAAAAA